GUGCCAGCAGCCGCGGUAAUACGUAGGGUCCAAGCGUUAAUCGGAAUUACUGGGCGUAAAGCGUGCGCAGGCGGUUGUGCAAGACCGAUGUGAAAUCCCCGGGCUUAACCUGGGAAUUGCAUUGGUGACUGCACGGCUAGAGUGUGUCAGAGGGGGGUAGAAUUCCACGUGUAGCAGUGAAAUGCGUAGAGAUGUGGAGGAAUACCGAUGGCGAAGGCAGCCCCCUGGGAUAACACUGACGCUCAUGCACGAAAGCGUGGGGAGCAAACAGGAUUAGAUACCCUGGUAGUCCACGCCCUAAACGAUGUCAACUAGUUGUUGGGGAUUCAUUUCCUUAGUAACGUAGCUAACGCGUGAAGUUGACCGCCUGGGGAGUACGGUCGCAAGAUUAAAACUCAAAGGAAUUGGCGGGGACCCGCACAAGCGGUGGAUGAUGUGGAUUAAUUCGAUGCAACGCGAAGAACCUUACCAGG
rnacentral:rRNA from 1 species